rnacentral:rRNA from 1 species
UACGUAGGGUGCAAGCGUUAAUCGGAAUUACUGGGCGUAAAGGGCGCGUAGGCGGCCAGCACAAGUCAGUUGUGAAAUCUCCGAGCUUAACUCGGAACGGUCAACUGAUACUGUGCGGCUAGAGUGCGGAAGGGGCAACUGGAAUUCUUGGUGUAGCGGUGAAAUGCGUAGAUAUCGGGAGGAACACCAGUGGCGAAGGCGAUCACCUGGGGUUGUUCUGACGCUGAGGAGCGAAAGCUAGGGGAGCAAACGGG